UGAAGAUCAGGAGUAGAGAUCACAAAACGAAAAACUUUGUGUCAGUAACAUGUCUUGAGGAGCUAAUCAGAGUUGCUGUGGGUCAUGGAAUUUGUCAGGAGGGCAACAUACAGGUGUAUUUAAUGGAUGAGUUAUCACUUCGCUCUAUGGUUGCUGGUGCUGAGAAAUGCCUCGAUGACAUUUUCAUUGUUAAAAAUGGACUAUGGAAACAAGAUCAGUCAACAUGUGUGAGUGCACCUUCACCAAUCCCACAAAUGCCUCUGCUCUCACGAAUUUAUUACCCUUGGGAGAGCCUCAGCAAGACAGUACUUGAUGCAUUGGAAGCAGACAAUGUUCUGCUUCCCUCUCAACGACAGGAAGUGGCACACAUGGCAGCGUCAUGGCCCUGCAUAUCCAUUGAAGGUGGGAGGCACUCCUGAUAUUUAUUCACAGGCACCUGGUUGGUAUCAUUGAGAACGAAGGGAGCCAGCAGGCAUAAAAAAUCAAGAGGGCUACAUACAUAAAUGCGUGAGGCAAUGAG